rnacentral:rRNA from 1 species
GAUGAACGCUGGCGGCGUGCCUAAUACAUGCAAGUAGAACGCUGAAGGAGGAGCUUGCUCUUCUGGAUGAGUUGCGAACGGGUGAGUAACGCGUAGGUAACCUGCCUGGUAGCGGGGGAUAACUAUUGGAAACGAUAGCUAAUACCGCAUGACAACAGUUAUUGCAUGAUAACUUUUUAAAAGGGGCAACUGCUCCACUACCAGAUGGACCUGCGUUGUAUUAGCUAGUUGGUGAGGUAACGGCUCACCAAGGCGACGAUACAUAGCCGACCUGAGAGGGGGAUCGGCCACACUGGGACUGAGACACGGCCCAGACUCCUACGGGAGGCAGCAGUAGGGAAUCUUCGGCAAUGGACGGAAGUCUGACCGAGCAACGCCGCGUGAGUGAAGAAGGUUUUCGGAUCGUAAAGCUCUGUUGUAAGAGAAGAACGAGUGUGAGAGUGGAAAGUUCACACUGUGACGGUAUCUUACCAGAAAGGGACGGCUAACUACGUG